GACACAUAGCUCAGUGGCAGAGCACACAUUCUUCACAUGCACAAGGUUCCAGGUUCAAGUCCUGGUGAUGGGAGAAGCU